rnacentral:tRNA from 1 species
GGUCCUUUAGCUCAAUAGGCAGAGCACCCGGCUGUUAACCGGGAGGCUGUAGGUUCAAUCCCUACAGGGACCG